rnacentral:lncRNA from 1 species
ACGAUAAAAAAACCUUACAAGGAGUCAAAAGAUCUUUCACCAAUGCUCACGCUCUUAUAUAAUGAACUUCGCAAACACUACUGUCACAUUCCUCUGUAAUUUCGUGGGGAUAGGGUUAUCAAUUUAAAAGUUGUUUGACGGAGGAAGUGAUUCAAAAGUCUACAGUCUGUUCUGACUGAAGAAGAGCAUAAGAAACGGGUCGGGUUUACGGUCUGAUUUUAGUUUAAUCGAGUUUUAAUUUGGUCUGGG